UUAGGGCUAGCCUCAAGGUGAGAGAUACGGAGGUAGAGCACUGAAUGUCCUAGGGGGUAUUGCACCUACCGAAGACUAUCAAACUCCGAAUGCCGUCAUCUUAUACUUGGGAGUCAGACUGUGGGUGAUAAGAUUCAUAGUCGAAAGGGCAACAGCCCAGAUCGUCAGCUAAGGUCCCUAAAUGUAAGUUAAGUGGUAAAGGAUGUGGGAUUGCACAGACAACCAGGAUGUUGGCUUAGAAGCAGCCACUCAUUCAAAGAGUGCGUAAUAGCUCACUGGUCGAGUGAUCCUGCGCCGAAGAUUUCCGGGGCUAAAACUUACUACCGAAGCUACGGCAUCAGUAAUGAUGGGUAGGGGAGCUUCCCAUACGGGUUGAAGCAUGACCGUAAGGACAUGUGGACAGUAUGGGAGUGAGAAUGUUGGCAUGAGUAGCGAGAUGUGGGUGAGAAUCCCACAGGCCGUAAACCCAAGGUUUCCAGGGGAAGGUUCGUCCGCCCUGGGUUAGUCGGGACCUAAGCUGAGGCCGAAAGGCGUAGGUGAUGGACAACAGGUUGAUAUUCCUGUACUACCGAUAACCGUUUGAGAGAAGGGAUGACACAGUAGGAUAAGCUAAGCACACUGUUGGUUAUGUGUGCCCAAGCAUUGAGGCAGUCAAAGUAGGCAAAUCCGCUUUGAUAAUGCUGGGAUGUGAUGGGGAGCGAAAUUUAGUAGCGAAGUAGCUGAUUUCACACUGUCAAGAAAAGUCUCUAUCGAGGUUAAAGGUACCCGUACCGCAAACCGACACAGGUGGGUGAGGAGAGUAUCCUAAGGCCAGCGAGAGAACUGUUGUUAAGGAACUCGGCAAAAUGACCCCGUAACUUAGGGAUAAGGGGUGCCACCAUCAGGUGGCCGCAGAGAAUAGGCCCAAGCGACUGUUUACCAAAAACAUAGGUUUCUGCUAAGUCGCAAGACGAUGUAUAGGAGCUGACGCCUGCCCGGUGCUGGAAGGUUAAGGGGAUCUGUUAGAGCAAUCGAAGCAGUGAACUUAAGCCCCAGUAAACGGCGGCCGUAACUAUAACGGUCCUAAGGUAGCGAAAUUCCUUGUCGGGUAAGUUCCGACCCGCACGAAAGGCGUAACGAUUUGGGCACUGUCUCAACAACAGACUCGGUGAAAUUGUAAUUCCGGUGAAGAUGCCGGAUACCUGCGACAGGACGGAAAGACCCCAUGGAGCUUUACUGUAGCUUGACAUUGGGUCUUGGUACUACAUGUACAGGAUAGGUGGGAGGCUUUGAAACCAGGACGCCAGUUUUGGCGGAGCCAUCCUUGGGAUACCACCCUUGUAGUACUGGGACUCUAACCAUAGGCCAUGAAUCUGGUCUUGGGACACUGUCAGGUGGGCAGUUUGACUGGGGCGGUCGCCUCCCAAAAGGUAACGGAGGCGCUCAAAGGUUCUCUCAGUACGGUCGGAAAUCGUACGUAGAGUGUAAAGGCAAAAGAGAGCUUGAUUGCAAGACAUACAGGUCGAGCAAGGAUGAAAAUCGGACUUAGUGAUCCGGUGGUUCUGCGUGGAAGGGCCAUCGCUCAACGGAUAAAAGCUACCCUGGGGAUAACAGGCUUAUCUCCCCCAAGAGUCCACAUCGACGGGGAGGUUUGGCACCUCGAUGUCGGCUCAUCACAUCCUGGGGCUGUAGUAGGUCCCAAGGGUUGGGCUGUUCGCCCAUUAAAGUGGUACGCGAGCUGGGUUCAGAACGUCGUGAGACAGUUCGGUCCCUAUCCGUCGCAGGCGUAGGAAAUUUGAGAAGACCUGUCCUUAGUACGAGAGGACCGGGAUGGACGUACCUCUGGUGUACCAGUUGUCCUGCCAAGGGCAUGGCUGGGUAGCUAUGUACGGAAUGGAUAAGCGCUGAAAGCAUCUAAGCGCGAAGCCAACUUCAAGAUAAGAUUUCCCACCGCAAGGGUAAGACCCCAGAAAGACUAUCUGGUUGAUAGGUCGAAGGUGUAAGUGCAGCAAUGUAUUUAGCUUAUCGAUACUAAUAGGUCGAGGACUUGACCAA
rnacentral:rRNA from 1 species